ACACUCCUGCGGGAGGCAGCAGUGGGGAAUUUUGGACAAUGGGCGAAAGCCUGAUCCAGCAAUGCCGCGUGAGUGAAGAAGGCCUUCGGGUUGUAAAGCUCUUUUGUCAGGGAAGAAACGGUGAGAGCUAAUAUCUUUUGCUAAUGACGGUACCUGAAGAAUAAGCACCGGCUAACUACGUGCCAGCAGCCGCGGUAAUACGUAGGGUGCAAGCGUUAAUCGGAAUUACUGGGCGUAAAGCGUGCGCAGGCGGUUUUGUAAGUCUGAUGUGAAAUCCCCGGGCUCAACCUGGGAAUUGCAUUGGAGACUGCAAGGCUAGAAUCUGGCAGAGGGGGGUAGAAUUCCACGUGUAGCAGUGAAAUGCGUAGAUAUGUGGAGGAACACCGAUGGCGAAGGCAGCCCCCUGGGUCAAGAUUGACGCUCAUGCACGAAAGCGUGGGGAGCAAACAGGAUUAGAAACCCCUGUAGUCCCAU
rnacentral:rRNA from 1 species